AGUUUGAUCCUGGCUCAGGAUGAACGCUAGCGGCAGGCCUAAUACAUGCAAGUCGAACGGUGAUAGCAAUAUCAUAGUGGCGCACGGGUGCGUAACACGUAUGCAACCUACCUAUUAUUGGGGGAUAGCCUUUGGAAACGGAGAUUAAUACCGCAUAAUACGAUUGACUGGCAUCGGUUGAUUGUUAAAGCUUCGGCGAUAAUAGAUGGGCAUGCGUCCAAUUAGUUAGUUGGUUAGGUAACGGCUGACCAAGACGAUGAUUGGUAGGGGAUCUGAGAGGAUAAUCCCCCACACUGGCACUGAGAUACGGGCCAGACUCCUACGGGAGGCAGCAGUAGGGAAUAUUGGGCAAUGGGCGGAAGCCUGACCCAGCCAUGCCGCGUGCAGGAAGAAGGCGUUAUGCGUUGUAAACUGCUUUUUUAUAGGAAGAAGGAUCCCUUGCGAGGGAAGGUGACGGUACUAUAAGAAUAAGCACCGGCUAACUCCGUGCCAGCAGCCGCGGUAAUACGGAGGGUGCAAGCGUUGUCCGGAUUUAUUGGGUUUAAAGGGUGCGUAGGCGGUUUAUUAAGUCAGUGGUGAAAGACGGUCGCUCAACGAUUGCAGUGCCAUUGAUACUGGUAGACUUGAGUGAGAUUGAGGUAGCUGGAAUGGAUAGUGUAGCGGUGAAAUGCAUAGAUAUUAUCCAGAACACCGAUUGCGAAGGCAGGUUACUA
rnacentral:rRNA from 1 species